UUGAAUAAACCUGAUGUGGCUGUUAGCUGGCUUUUCGAGGCAUGUGCUCGCCCGUCAUCUUUAUCUCUCCACUUGUGCACCUUUUGUAGUGUUGAAUACCCCUCGAGGCAACUCGGAUUUUAGGAUUGCCGUGCUGUACAAGUCGGCUUUUCUUUCAUUUUCAACGCUAUGUUUUCUAUAUACACCAAAGUAUGUUUAAAGAACGUCAUCAAUAGGAACUUGUUUUCUAUAAAAACUAUA
rnacentral:misc_RNA from 1 species